AGCCGGAUAAUCGCGUUCUUUAUGAAUGAGGAAAGUCCGUGCAUCCAAGGACAGGUUGCCGGAGAAACUCCGGACGGUGUGAACCGGUGGAAAGUGCCACAGAAAGAUACGGCCGAUGGACGUGAGUCACAGGCAAAGGUGCAAUGGUGAGUUAAGAGCUUCACCGUCGGUAUUGAGAAAUAUCGGACAGGUAAACCCCAACCGGAUGCAAGAUUGACAGGAAGGCUAUAAAGGUGUCCGCCCACUUCCGACAAAUCGCUAGAGAUCAGGAGUAAUCCUGAUACCAGACAGAUGAUUAUCUAGAAACAGAACACGGCUUAUGAGCUGCUUUA
rnacentral:RNase_P_RNA from 1 species